CACAGAGCAGGAAGCUGAGAAAUCACAUGUUCAACAACCCACGGAGAGCAGAGAGGCUGAACUGGAAACGGGGAGGCUCUAGACUCCCAAGGCCUGGCAGCAGUGACACAGCAUACCUCCUCCAGCAUUGUGCCACCUCCUAAAGGUUCCAUAAUUCCCCCCCAAAAGAACCAGCCAGGGACCAAGCAUUCAAAUACGUCAGAGUAAGGGGGCCAUUUCUCAUUCCAACCAUCACAGCUGGAGUGGCUCCCAAGGGCAGGAGAGUAUGGAAGAGAAUGAUGACAGCGAAGAUCCCCGGCACGAUGAAAGGGAUGGCCCUGCAGGUGAGCACAGGAAGUCACACACUGCCCCACCACAGCCUGAGUUACCAGCGUGUUCUCGUCUUCUUUGGGCAUGCACACUGCGGGUUAUCCAGGUGCCGCCUGACCUUUGUGUGUGUGCAAAUGUAUUACAAGGGGGGGGGUGUGUGUCACGGCACCCUGCUCUCCGCAUACAGUUAUGAGGACUUUGAAUGGAAGGCGAUAAAAUCCUAGAUGCAAAACUGUCAGGAAAAGGCAUCGGAAGCGACGUGACAGUAGCUGUCAUCAGACGUUCACAGGGAAGCCUUCUGGGAGCACUCCAUUUGGUCAUGGUUCCCCAGUGGGGAGCAGCCAUGAGGUGAACAACUUCCUCGGCCACCAGCUCCUGCAGUGACAUGCUGCCUCACCACGAGAGCAAAAGCAAUGGACCCAACAGACUGUGGACUGAAAACUACAAAGUCAUGGGCCGAAAUGAACUUUUUACCCUUUGGGGUGAUUGGCUCAGGUAUUUUGUCACAGUGAUGGAGAGCUGACUAACACAGAUGCCUGGUCAAACCUCCCAGACACCAUCUCCACCAGCAGCCAUGGCUCCAGACCAGACCAUUGGCUCACCCUUCCUGAGGGCCCAACCCAGGACCCCAUAUAUUUGGAAGAGUUUGAGAAGAAUUGGCGUCCAUCUUCCUUUAAGUGCCGAGCAGCGUGUGCCUG